ACCUACUGUUUAAUUUUGAGGGUUCGUUUUUACGAAUACUCAAAAUUAGCACUUUUAGCAACGGGAUUUAUCCGUUGGCGCCGUGCUUUAGCACUUUGAAAACUGCAUAUAUAUUUAGUGAUAUGACAUCUAAUUUGUAAUAUAUAAAGCUGAUAACUUUUUAAAAUUAUCGAAGUUGAUAGCUUCUAACCUAUCAAACCUUUUUAACUGGUCAA
rnacentral:misc_RNA from 1 species